CACACACACACACACCUUCUAAAGCCACCACCCACAUCCAGACUCUGACCUGAACCACAGAGCUUCACGUCCAUCUAAAGUCUGACCCGUCUGUUUGCAGGUGAGGUGUUUGAAGGACCACGGAGAGUUUGAAAUUGAUGACGGGACGGUGAUUCUGCUGAAGAAGAACAGUCAGCACUUCCUGCCGCGGUGGAAAUGUGAGCAGCUGAUUCGUCAGGGCGUCCUGGAGCACGUUGUGUCCUAAAGGAGGCGGAGCUAAGGUGCGACGAGGUGGAUCAUCAUCACCAGACGAUGAUGUAUAUGAUGUUUAUUUUCAGAAAAAUAAAAUCUGUUACUAAA